GACAUAGGUCGCAAACGUUAUCCGGAAUUAUUGGGCGUAAAGGAUGCGUAGAUGGUUCAGUAAGUUACUGGUGGGAAAUCGAGGCCCAACCUCGUGGAAGUUAGUAAUACUGUUGAACUUGAGUGCAGGAGAGGUUAACGGAACUUCAUGUGGAGCGGUAAAAUGCGUAGAUAUAUGAAAGAACAUCAAUAUGGCGAAGGCAGUUAACUAUUCUGCUACUGACAUUGAGGCAUGAAGGCGUGGGGAGCAAAACGG
rnacentral:rRNA from 1 species